GAAAGAAAACAGCAGUUUGAUCCAAGAAUGAUUCUAUCACCUGGACAAAGAAUCUUUAACAAUUUAAACUAGCUUUGCUGGAAAAAAAAAAAGAGGUUACACAUAUGGUGGGACUACCCAAGUUAGCUAGCUGGCUCAGCACAAGUGUACACAUAGGACCCAGAGUUCAGAUGAUAGGUUUUGUACUUGUUUUUGUUAAGAGGGUGGGGUUUAAAGCUGCAUGACUUUGGCAUAUAUGUAGAUCAGGUUACACAUACUUUAGAU
rnacentral:lncRNA from 1 species